AUACGGAGGGUGCAAGCGUUGUUCGGAAUCACUGGGCGUAAAGGGCGCGCAGGCGGUUUGGUAAGUCAGAUGUGAAAGCCCACGGCUCAACCGUGGAAGUGCAUUUGAAACUGUCAGACUUGAGUACUAGAGGGGAAAGUGGAAUUCCCGGUGUAGAGGUGAAAUUCGUAGAUAUCGGGAGGAAUACCGGUGGCGAAGGCGACUUUCUGGCUAGAUACUGACGCUGAGGCGCGAAAGCGUGGGGAGCAAACAGGAUUAGAAACCCGUGUAGUCC
rnacentral:rRNA from 1 species